rnacentral:rRNA from 1 species
AAUGAACGUUGGCGGCGUGGAUUAGGCAUGCAAGUCGUACGGGUCGGUGUAGCAAUACAACGGCAAGUGGCGAAAGGGAGAGUAACGCGUAGAUACCUACCCUCUGGUCGGGGAUACCGCGGCAUAACCGCAAGUAAUACCCGAUAAUAUCUCCGGAUCAAAGGUGUGAUUCCGCCGGAGGAGGGGUCUGCGUUUCAUCAGCUUGUUGGUGAGGUAACGGCUCACCAAGGCUAAGACGAAUACGGGGUGUGAGAGCAUGCCCCCGCUCACUGGGACUGAGACACUGCCCAGACACCUACGGGUGGCUGCAGUCGAGAAUCUUCGGCAAUGGGCGCAAGCCUGACCGAGCGACGCCGCGUGCGGGAUGAAGGCCUUCGGGUUGUAAACCGCUGUCGAGGGGGAUAAAGUGCAGGUGGGUUCUCCCAUUUGUUUGAUAGAUCCCUGGAGGAAGCAUGGGCUAAGUUCGUGCCAGCCGCCGCAGUAACAC